GACGAACGCUGGCGGCGUGCUUAACACAUGCAAGUCGAACGGUAAGGCCCUUCGGGGUACACGAGUGGCGAACGGGUGAGUAACACGUGGGUGAUCUGCCCUGCACUUCGGGAUAAGCCUGGGAAACUGGGUCUAAUACCGGAUAGGACCCUGGGAUGCAUGUCCUGGGGUGGAAAGCUUUUGCGGUGUGGGAUGGGCCCGCGGCCUAUCAGCUUGUUGGGGGGGUGAUGGCCUACCAAGGCGACGACGGGUAGCUGGCCUGGGAGGGUGACCGGCCACACUGGGACUGAGAUACGGCCCAGACUCCUACGGGAGGCAGCAGUGGGAAAUAUUGCACAAUGGGCGCAAGCCUGAUGCAGCGACGCCGCGUGAGGGAUGACGGCCUUCGGGUUGUAAACCUCUUUCAGCACCGACGAAGCGCAAGUGACGGUAGGUGCAGAAGAAGGACCGGCCAACUACGUGCCAGCAGCCGCCGUAA
rnacentral:rRNA from 1 species